UUCCAUUUGAGUGGGACGACACCAGUUACGCAAACACAGGCCAAUAUACAACAAUGAUCAAGGAACUGUCUGCUCUGAUUCUCCUAACCACAUUAUCUCUACAUCAGACUGCAGAGGUUCCUCAGCAGAUCCCUUUGAUUGUGGCUAACCUCGAUCACAAAAAUCAGCAGAAACACAUCUAUGUCAAACAAAGUCCGGAGACUGCGUCAGUCCAGCCGGGAAACCCGACGACUCUCCAGUGUUCACUUCUCUCCACGAACAAAGAAAACCUGGUCCAGUAUCCAGGUGAACACAGGGUGCACUGGUUCAGAGCCGGAUCAGGACGCUCCCAUCCCAGCUUCAUUUACACUCAGAGCAGCAGGAGAGAUGAACAAGAGGAGAAGAGCUGCGUCUACAGUCUGUCCAAAACUAUACACAACUCCUCAGAUGCUGGGACUUACUACUGCGCUGUGGUCAGUGGCGGCUGGCCAAUAGGGGGCGCUAGGGCGCCGCCCCACCUGAUUGAAAGUGAUUUUUAA